CUGUGCUCUGUUAGAACAGGUUUCAGAAGCCUCGAAAGCUACAAAUCUCCACCCACAUUUUCACCUGUGAAGACAUUUCACAUCACUUCUUCUUAGAAACGCGCCACUUUCUUCCCUUUCUUGGAGUCUAUUGUGGUGCAAUUGGAAAUACCAUGAUGAUGAUGAUGAAAGGCAAACUCUCCCAUAGCACCUCGCAUCCUGUACAAAGGUGUCCUACUUAUGUCGACAGCUGUGUUGUUUCUCUGUGUUAAAGCUGGGAAAGCAGAACGUACUGGUAGUGAGACACUACCGAGAUACAGGCCGCCCUCAUUUCGCAGC